rnacentral:rRNA from 1 species
UACGUAGGGUGCAAGCGUUAAUCGGAAUUACUGGGCGUAAAGCGCGCGUAGGCGGCUUUGCAAGUCGGGUGUGAAAUCCCCAGGCUUAACCUGGGAACUGCAUUCGAGACUGCAUUGCUAGAGUAUGGGAGAGGGAAGUGGAAUUUCUGGUGUAGCGGUGAAAUGCGUAGAUAUCGGAAGGAACAUCAGUGGCGAAAGCGACUUCCUGGACCAAUACUGACGCUCAUGUGCGAAAGCGUGGGGAGCAAACAGGAUUAGAA